UCUCUGGGAGUCCAGGGAUUAGGACUCUGCACUUCCAAUGCAGAGGGCAGGGAUUCAAUCCCUGGUCAGGGAA
rnacentral:tRNA from 1 species